AUAAUAUGAACGCUUAAUUCUCUUAUGGAGAAGCGGGGGAAACGAACUAUAACUAUAGGGGUGAAACGAUUUAAGUCGGGUUACCUUACGAUCCGAACCCAACAACUAACCUCGUAAGCGUAGUAAGGAUGUUAG
rnacentral:sRNA from 2 species